rfam:Bacterium BRH_c32 BRHa_1005139, whole genome shotgun sequence.
UCUGGUGGCUAUAGCUAGGAGGAAACACCUCUUCCCAUUCCGAACAGAGAAGUUAAGCUCCUAUACGCCAAUGGUACUGCAUGGGCAACUGUGUGGAAGAGUAGGUAGCUGCCAGGA